rnacentral:rRNA from 1 species
GAUGAACGCUGGCGGCGUGCCUAAUACAUGCAAGUCGAGCGAACAGAUGAGGCGCUUGCUCCUCUGACGUUAGCGGCGGACGGGUGAGUAACACGUGGAUAACCUACCUAUAAGACUGGGAUAACUUCGGGAAACCGGCGCUAAUACCGGAUAAUAUAUUGAACCGCAUGGUUCAAUAGUGAAAGACGGUUUUGCUGUCACUUAUAGAUGGAUCCGCGCCGCAUUAGCUAGUUGGUAAGGUAACGGCUUACCAAGGCAACCAUGCGUAGCCGACCUGAGAGGGUGAUAGGCCACACGGGAACGGAGACACGGUCCAGACUCCUACGGGAGGCAGCAGUAGGGAACCGUCCGCAAUGGGCGAAAGCAUGACGGAGCAACGCCGCGUGAGUGAUGAAGGUCUUCGGAUCGUAAAACUCUGUUAUUAGGGAAGAACAAAUGUGUAAGUAACUAUGCACGUCUUGACGGUACCUAAUCAGAAAGCCACGGCUAACUACGUG